GUGCUAAGGUAGCAUAAUCAUUUGUCUUUUAAAUGAAGACUAGAACAAAAGAUUUUACAUUUUAAUAUAUUUCUUAUAAUUAAAAAUUAAAAUUAUUCUUAAUGUUAAAAAACAUUAAUUUUUAAGAAAGACGACAAGACCCUAAUGAACUUAACUUAAGUUAAACUGGGGCAGUAAAUUAAGUAUUAUUUUAAUUUAAAUAAUAUUUUUAAUAUCCAAUAUUAUUGAUAUACAAGUUACCAUAGGGAUAACAGCGUAAUAUAAUUUUAAAGUUCAUAUAAAAAUUUAAUUUUACGACCUCGAUGUUGAAUUAAUUACCUAAUUAAAGCAAAAAUUAAAUAAGGAAGUCUGUUCGACUUUUAAAUAAUUACAUGAUUUGAGUUCAGACCGGUAUAAGCCAGGUCGGUUUCUAUCUUCUUAUAAUUUAAUACAGUACGAAAGGACCUAUUAAUUUAAUAUUAUUAUAAUAUUGGCAGAAUAUUGCAUUAGAAUUAGAAUCUAAUAAAUCAAAA
rnacentral:rRNA from 1 species